rnacentral:rRNA from 1 species
UACAGAGGGUGCGAGCGUUAAUCGGAAUUACUGGGCGUAAAGCGCACGCAGGUGGCUGAGUCAGUCGAUUGUGAAAGCCCUGGGCUUAACCUGGGAAUUGCAGUCGAUACUACUCAGCUAGAGUAUGGGAGAGGGUAGUGGAAUUCCCGGUGUAGCGGUGAAAUGCGUAGAUAUCGGGAGGAACAUCAGUGGCGAAGGCGGCUACCUGGCCCAAUACUGACACUCAGGUGCGACAGCGUGGGGAGCAAACGGG